CAGCAGCCACGGUAAUACGUAGGUCCCGAGCGUUGUCCGGAUUUAUUGGGCGUAAAGCGAGCGCAGGCGGUUAGAUAAGUCUGAAGUUAAAGGCUGUGGCUUAACCAUAGUACGCUUUGGAAACUGUUUAACUUGAGUGCAAGAGGGGAGAGUGGAAUUCCAUGUGUAGCGGUGAAAUGCGUAGAUAUAUGGAGGAACACCGGUGGCGAAAGCGGCUCUCUGGCUUGCAACUGACGCUGAGGCUCGAAAGCGUGGGGAGCAAACAGGAUUAGAUACCCCAGUAGUCCCUGUCUCUUAUACC
rnacentral:rRNA from 1 species